UUUAAAGCAUCACUUCCACCACAAUCAAAACCAAAUGCUGGCACUGCUUUACUUGUGUGACUGGAAUGUUUUCUGUGGGGGGGGCCUGUCCAGCACCAUUGUUCUCUUUCUCUGUGUUGAAUGUAAACAGACUCUAAAUGCCUAUUUGUGUAAAUGUCCUGCGCUUGGCUCCAAUGACCCCUGCAGCAGUAUUCUUUAACUCAUCUAUUCAGUCUCAUUGCCACUAUCAUGGUUGGAAGACUAACAGACACACACUUAGCCAAAAUGACAUCACUGGCCUUUUGUUGUUGCUUCAGGCAGUGUUCAUGUCUCAUGUGUUUGGGUGCUUUGUGUAUGCUCUUUGUGCAUUUACAGUAACAGGGUCUCAGUGGUAGGGGGAUUAGGCUCGCAUUGCCAGACCUUCUUCCACAGCGCUGCGGGGAAGGGUCUGGCUGCAUUCUGGGAUGGGAGAAAAACCUGCUGUGGUUAUCAGCAUUUCUUCAAACCAAUCCCUAUGUGCAUGGGCGGAGCUAAACCCCGGACGGAGCCACUGUGCUGCUGCAAAAUAGCAUCAGGAAGGAAGUGGUUUUGGUGCAACGUGUACGUUCAGAAGUAGUUUUAGUCGUCAACAGAAAACUCAGAUUGGACAGAUAGUCUAGCUAGCUUUAGAACGGCAACACUAAGAAAGCGGAAGGUGAAGGACACACGGCAGAAUUUUCGACGUCAACGGAGCAAUCCCGGUAGUGGAACGCUGUGGACAUAGACUCUAAGGGGGAUAAACCUAGACUUAAAUGAGUGGACAUUCUCUCAAUUGCUGUUUGAGACGUGUGGCCUGUUUGUGUGACGUGAAGCUGCUAUAUGAGCCUCUGGAGUCAAGCCAUCUGAAACCUCUCGCCCUAAAACUGACCCCGCUGUCGGGUGCAGAUUCCCAUGAGGAUAACUGAAUAUCAGCUUCAGGUUGAAUGGCUCCCUGAUGUUUCUCUAAUCCUAAAGCUUAGUGUUUAAUGAAUUGACCAAAAACACUGUUUCAAUGAACCAAAUGAGUCUUGCUGGUAAACAAA